CUACAAUAACCAACUUCCUCUGACUCCAAAUUUACUCCUUAGGUACACUUGGCUUAGAUAUUCCUUUGACUAUCCAAUCAUACCACUGUAUACUACAAUUUACACAUGCAUACACGCUCACCUAAAGAGUUUUUUUUUUUUUUUAAUCGAGUCUGGGACCUGGUUUCCCUCCAUUAAAUAACUGAUGAAAAAUUUAGUAAAUCUACAGAGAGAGUUUAGUAAGUGUAAGAAGACUUUGCUCACUGUGUGUGAUAUUCCAAUAGAUUCAUGUGUUCUACACACAGGGAUCUCUUGGAUAUAAGGGAAGCAUUUCUCAGAUGUCUGGGUGUGUUUCUGGUCACUAUCCAGGUUCCUGGCUCAGCUUCCCAGGUCUCUAUGAAUAAGCAGAGGGCAUCCACAUCCAGACCAGGCUCCUGGGGUUCAGACCAUAGGGGCUGGGCAUCCCUGGUAGACCUCACAUUGGGCACUGAGACUCCUGAAAAACUUGUGCUGUUAAUUUUGCAGUUCUCUAUCUUGACUGCUUCUCAGACUGACCACCAGUUGGUGAGUUUUCAUCAGCCUUCUGCCUCGUCUCCUCUGACCCAAGCAGCAGCAGGGACUCACUUGCAUGCACUGGUCUUGUAGGCAGUAACUUUUAAGCCACAUCCUCUGUCCACCAGGCUAAACUUGCCUGCCUGAGAGGCAUACUCCUUCCACCCUCUGUCGUACAUCUGUGAGCUACCAACUCUGGCCCUAGUGUGACACUGCCAGAAUGUUGUGUACCUCAUCUAUUUAGAGUGGGAAACCCAUCAGGCAAACUGUAGAGGCCCCGUAUCCUCACUCCCUUUCUGCUCAGUUUUUUCACCUAUAUUAUCUCAACUUCACUCUACUAACCAGAGUACCAAGGAAAGGUAGGCUAGCAAUUAUGUCCAUGAUGACUAUAGAGAAGUGGAGAGGAGAUGACUUAUGAUCUUCUUUGUGCUGGAUUCUCUACUGAAGGCAUCUGAUGGCUUCUGAUUUCCCUGGUCUGAGAAGAAAGUCCCUAUCCACCUCUCCCUCCUUACUCUACCUCAGGCUGAGGGGCUCAGGCAACCUUUCAUGUUGCAUAUGGCAUAGGUAUGUCUGCCUCACUCCAGAAGGGACCAGCCAAUAGCCACCUACUUCUAAGGUCUAGUGCCCACAGACCUGGUGUUCAUAAAUUUAAGUUCUGGAUUUAGGUCUCCUUUCCUGUAGCCAGGUGAUCAGUGACAGGCGAAAAUCAAGAUCCCAGACUUCCGGAGUAACCUCAUCAAGAUUGAGGUAACAGCUCACAUAGCUAGUGCAUAGACAGAUGCAGGUUACAUGGAGUCUGAAUCUUGUACACAUUUGGAGGCUCCCUUUGGGACUGCUGGGAAGCAUGAAACAUGGGAUUUCACUCACCGUUGUGCUCACUAUGUGUGAUAUUCCUAUAGAUUCAUGUCUUCUACACACAGGCAUUUUUGAUCAUUCUGAAUUCUUGAUUCCCAUAAAAAAUGAAUACAUAGUCAUCAUAGCAUAUGCUGCAUUACUGAAUAUAUAUUUAUGAGAGUCUCCAACACAUCUUUACACGUCUGAGGAGUGGAAGAAUUUCCCACAGAUUAGUUUCUUGUUCCCCACAUUUCAAACCUCAUUUCUCUUCCACCUCUGGCACCGGGUGUGGUACGGCUCCUUAGUGCUCCAUGCCAGAAGUGGCACAGUGGUAAAGUUAUUUCUGGUGGGGGGAGGGGUAUUUGGAGAAAAAAAAGGAAGAGGAUUGCCGGGGAGUAUACAGGGAGGGUUAGGAGAAAUUCUGGAGAUACGGUCCACUCAAUGGAGGCACAUAUAACCAAGCUGAGAAACGACAUAGUACACAACAGAAUCGGGAGAUGUGAAACCCAGACAUCAAUCUUCACCUGGGCAUAGAGGAAAUACUCAGAUUUCCAAGCAGGUUCUAGGUUCAGAGGAGAGCGCGCUUGGUUGGAGGCGCUGGUCUUGCAGGAUGGGGUGGGGGCGUUAAUACAAACUUCUGGUCCAGCAGAGGUAGAAACAGACCAGAUGUAAGUAGCAGCUCAAAGGCAGCGGACUUGAGGGAUGAAGACGUGAGGCCCAGAGGGUGGUGACUGGCAGAGAAAACAGCUGCCGGACACCAAGGCCACCUCGGGUUAAAGGGAACAAGUUGUACCCAAAAAAAACACGGUGAAAAUAGGAAGAAUAAGAAUAUCACCUGGAGUGUUCUCCUAGGACCCUCCCCAAGAACCUGGAUGCUUUAACAAUCCCUCCAGAGCAGGGACACUCAGAAUACAUACAUAGAGCAGGGACACUCAGAAUACAUACAUAUCCCACAAAGUAAAGUGUCUGAAGGCCUGGGCAGACCCUUCUUCCUCCCCUUCUCUCUCCUCCGUCGGCCGGCCCGGAGGAGGGUCAGGGAUGAGAACUACUCUCACUGCUGUCCCCCACCUCACCCCAACGAGAGAGGAAUCUAGAGGUCUGUAUCCCUCCUUCACCACCCCGCCCGAGCGCCUUCUGGAAAACACAACCACCGUCCCAAGUCUCACCCAGCAACUGCAUCCAAGCGCUUUCUCCAAGUGUUCGCGGAGCCGCCGGAACUCUUCCAGGCAGGCGUUCCCGGACUCUGUACAGUAGGCACCCCGCCCUUGGGGUUUUGAGCCGCAGUGUCUGCCUCUGUCCAAGUAUCCAGCCUCAGGUGCAGACCUUUCAGGGCCGGCGGCGGGAGGCGCAGACAGGGAGGACCCCCUCAGGCGUACUGCAGCCCGGGCUGCCGCGCCAGAGAGUUUGCAUCCUUGGGAACCGCGGACGUGCCUGGGCGCUCCAACUCCGCGCGCCUCAGACGCUGAGGCUAUGAUUGGCCUGGCUGAACGUCAAUCAGGGCUCGGCGCCGUGGAGGCGGGACGAACGCCGCGGGCCGAGCCUGCUUAACUCCCUGCCGAGUUAUUCUCUGCCACUUCUAAGACCUCCUCCUCAGAUGUGGACCGUACAGAUGAUGCUCCAUCGGUUACUCUGAUCCUGGCUUUGGGACUGCCAGAUAAAACUGGGAGAAACCCUACAUUUACUCUUACUGUAACGUAUUGGCUUGAAACUGCAGCAUAUUCACCAUGAAGACAUGAGGAUGAAGACCUUUAUGA